rnacentral:rRNA from 1 species
GAUGAACGCUGGCGGCGUGCCUAAUACAUGCAAGUCGAGCGAACAGACGAGGAGCUUGCUCCUCUGACGUUAGCGGCGGACGGGUGAGUAGCACGUGGAUAACCUACCUAUAAGACUGGGAUAACUUCGGGAAACCGGAGCUAAUACCGGAUAAUAUAUUGAACCGCAUGGUUCAGUAGUGAAAGACGGUUUUGCUGCCACUUAUAGAUGGAUCCGCGCCGCAUUAGCUAGUUGGUAAGGUAACGGCUUACCAAGGCAACGAUGCGUAGCCGACCUGAGAGGGUGAUCGGCCACACUGGAACUGAGACACGGUCCAGACUCCUACGGGAGGCAGCAGUAGGGAAUCUUCCGCAAUGGGCGAAAGCUUGACGGAGCAACGCCGCGUGAGUGAUGAAGGUCUUCGGAUCGUAAAACUCUGUUAUUAGGGAAGAACAAAUGUGUAAGUAACUAUGCACGUCUUGACGGUACCUAAUCAGAAAGCCACGGCUAACUACGUG